rnacentral:rRNA from 1 species
UACAGAGGGUGCGAGCGUUGUUCGGAAUUACUGGGCGUAAAGCGCGCGCAGGCGGCUCUUUAAGUCAGGGGUGAAAUCCUGGAGCUCAACUCCAGAACUGCCUUUGAUACUGAGGAUCUUGAGUACGGGAGAGGUGAGUGGAACUGCGAGUGUAGAGGUGAAAUUCGUAGAUAUUCGCAAGAACACCAGUGGCGAAGGCGGCUCACUGGCCCGUAACUGACGCUGAGGCACGAAAGCGUGGGGAGCAAACAGG